rnacentral:misc_RNA from 1 species
UUUCACGGACUGUCUGGUCGAAGAGCUUCAUGAAAUCCAUGAUUGGAUCCGCGGAAUCAAAAUUAGAAAAAGGAAAUGAAAUAUUCGAUCAAAUUGAGAGGUAAUAGUAUGCAGAUAUGCAGAACUACGGAUUGAUUAACGUAGACUUCAUUAAGGAAAGGAAGGAAAAAAAAAAGAGAGGGGAAGUGGGAGAAGUAGAACCUUCAAAUGGAGAUGUUAACAG